UAGGGGAGCAGAGAGAUCCCCGAAAUAUGGACAUUAUCGAUCUUCUUGAGGAAUUCAUUGCCUUUUAAAAGAGACAAGCCAGAAAGCAGCUUAAAAGUAAGCAAGCAACUACAGAGCAAGAGUGGAUGCUGGGAAUUUAGAGUUUAUCCAGAGGGGCUUCCUGAAAGAGGUAAAGAAGCCCGGGAGCCUGAACUCUGGGUCGUCAUCGUCAAUACCGUCGUGAUACCUAAGCCCACCCGGGCAGGGGCGGCGUCCAUGUUGAUCCAGAAAGAGACCCAGGACAGGAUGACGAUGAGCAGACUAGGGAUGUACAUUUGGAUCAAAUAGUAGCCCAUCUGGCGCUCCAAGUGGAACUUCACCUCUAUGCAGGUGAGAAAAGUCUAGACCCCGCCUCCACCCCUUCACACCCGACUGCUGGAGUGAGGGCCAAGGUGGCCGAAGCAGAUGGCCAGAGCCGUGUUCUGCAAACCAAGGGAAGAAGGUGGAGGACCAUGAGGAAUGGUGAGGAUCUGAGCUGGACCCGAGGUUUCAGUGGUGUGGGGAACUUU